rnacentral:rRNA from 1 species
AUUGAACGCUGGCGGCAGGCUUAACACAUGCAAGUCGAGCGAGCGGCGGACGGGUGAGUAAUGUGUGGGAAUCUGCCUGAUAGAGGGGGAUAACUACUGGAAACGGUGGCUAAUACCGCAUACCAUCAGGUGCACCCAGAUGGGCUUAGCUAGUAGGUGGGGUAAGGGCUCAACUAGGCGACGAUCUCUAGCUGGUCUGAGGGGAUGAGAGGCCACACUGGAACGGAGACACGGCCCAGACUCCUACGGUACGCAGCAGUGGGGAAUAGUGGACAAUGGGGGCGAGCCUGAUGCAGCCAUGGCGAGUGUGUGAAGGAGGCCUUGGGGGUGUAAAGUACGUUCAGCGGGGAGGCGUUACCCGCAUAAGAAGCACCGGCUAACUCCGUGCCAGCAGCCGCGGUAAUUC